rnacentral:rRNA from 1 species
GAUGAACGCUGGCGGCGUGCCUAAUACAUGCAAGUCGAGCGAACAGACGAGGAGCUUGCUCCUCUGACGUUUGCGGAGGACGGGUGAGUAACACGUGGAUAACCUACCUAUAAGACUGGGAUAACUUCGGGAAUCGGGCGCUAAUCCGGGAUAAUAUCUUGAUCCGCAUGGUUCAUUAGUGAAAGUCGGUUUUGCUGUCUCUAAUAGAUGGUUCCGCGCCGCAUUAGCUAGUUGGUAAGGUAACGGGUUACCAAGGCAAGCAGGCGUGGCCGACCGGAGGGGGUGAUCGGCGACCCGAGAACGUGAACACGGUCCAGAGGCCUACGGGAGGCAGCAGAAGGGAAUCUGCCGCAGUGGGCGAGAGCCUGACGGAGCAACGCCGCGUGAGUGAUGGAGGUCUCCGGAUCGGAAAGCUCUGUUAUUAGGGAAGAACAAAUGUGUAAGUAACUAUGCACGUCUUGACGGUACCUGAUCAGAAAGCCACGGCUAACUACGUG